AGAAAGGUUGGACUAGAUGAUCCCUGAGGUCCCUUCCAACCUGGGAUUCUGUCAUAGUUCAGUCUUACAGAAGUAUAGAAUGGCUUUGCAUUUGUACUGCUUUGGUCAAAUAUAUUGAUUUAAGGCACAUUAGAGAGGUUAUUUAAGGUACACAGGUACACUGAAAAGCCUACCUGUUCCUCUGGCCUUCCAGAAUGCCUAGGAGAUAUUGAAUGAGUUUGGAGUUGAAGCAUCAAUAGCAGGAUACUAGCUAUUGCUGUAUGGUUUUGUUUAACAAGUUAAUUGAAUAUUGUCUUGAAAAAGCAUGUAUAUGUUCCUGCUUAAAAAUGUAUAUUUUUGAAUAAUAAAGGUGGGUAUUUUUUUUCUUUUUUUCACUAACUGGGAGCUUUAAGAACUGGAAGUGAAGGAAGGUAGCUUAGAUCCUGCUUUAACACUGUUGCUUUUUUGAAGCUAGAGCUGUACACGUGCAGACCAUCAGACUGAGAUGCAGGAGAUGUGGGGGAACAGAAACCAUGCAGGCCUUUCCCUUCUGUCCCAUUACAGAAGCAGAUGGAUAGAUGAGUAUUAUCUUGCUAAAAGAUAUUGAUUUGGAGUAAAAGAAUACCUAUCUAAGGAAAGGACAUUUAAACAGCUCUGUUUUGGGCUCAAUCCAGAUUCUGUUGUGAAGCAGUUCUUGCAGUAGAAGAGCAGGUGUUGAUAGCGACAGAUGCAUUGAAGUACUACACACAAGAGCUAGAAGAAAUGACAAAGCAGAACUUGGGUGUUAGAGGUUUGCUUGAUGCUGUUCCUGUAGUUCUUUUCCUAUAAUUUCUCACGACAUCAAGGUCACAUGCAAGAAGAGGGUUGUAACCUUGGGGAAACAAAUGGACUCCUGCCCAGAGUCACACAAGACAAUGGUCUGACACCACACGGAAAGAAAGGAGUCUCCAGUGUCUCUAAGUGGUUUUGAGGAAACAGCAGUGGAUGAACCAUAGUUAUAUGAACCUGUGCCUGCAACCUCAUAAGCUGGGUGGCUUUUAUCAGAGGCAAGGUAUUCAGGAAGAGGCGUCUUCGGACUGACCAGGAAUUGCAUCUCACAAGCCGUCUUGUCUUCAUUCGGAUUAGUCAGUCUUGGCCGCUCCCUGCAGACAAAACCAAAAAAAUAGCCUCCCAUGAGGUUUUCAUGUUAGGUUUGUGAUUUUCUAAGCCGUACUUUCACAACUCUCCAGACUGCAAACAGCUGUUUGAGAUGGAUUGCUAUGGGGUGGGAAUGAACUAGACCCCCGACUCUUCUUUUAAAGAUGACUAUAAAGUCCAAGGAGGACCAUGAAAUUGGUGUUCUUUUCCUGGUUUGGAGACUGAAAAUUCAGUGCAUUCUCUUUCCAAGGCAAUGCUCACCUGGUGCUGUAUCAAAAGAUGCAGCAUAUGUAUAAGUGGUCUCUCGGUUGGAGUACUCUUCACCACUCAAAAAGAUUUUUCAGUGCCAAAAGUCUGAGAAGAUGAUGGGACUGAGAUAAGAAGAUAUGUUUGAUCAGAAAAAAUUGUGAAGAUAUCAGAGCUUACAUAGGAAAUGCGAUGAUUUUCUUGGCCCUGCGCUCUGAACUUUUUCCCACAGGAAAACCUUUGCAGCCUCACCAACGCCGUAAGCAGCAGGUGUCUGUGCAUGUACAAAAAACUUAACAUGAGCAACUUUGCAGAAUGUAGUCUAUGCCUGAAUGCUGAAUGGAACCAUACAGCUUUGCAAAGCAGAGCAGCACUACAUAGGAGAAGAGCACAUGAAGCAUUUUUAUUUGUGUACAACUGAAACUUCUAUUUUUAUUUAGUUUUGUGUUUAGGCCAAGCACAGGAGAAGCAAGCCUACCUUACCUGCAAUGUACUAUGUUAGUAUGAUCACCGUGCUAGAAAUGACCCUUUUUUUUGUGUAUAAUAUUACUCCUACAAGUUGGCUGCCAAAAAACAAUGUUAAAAUUUUGACAAAUCUGCUCAAAUUUGUGUAAAAUCUAUGUUGCAUAUACGAACCAGUUUAGAUUAACACCACUAUGUACACUGGUGUCUGAAUGGGGUUUUGUAUGUAAUACCAUAUAUAUUAUAAGUCUUUGAUAAAUACAUUGCUCUUUUUAAUAGAGACAUGCAAAUACUGAA